GAUGAACGCUGGCGGCGUGCCUAAUACAUGCAAGUCGAGCGAACAGACGAGGAGCUUGCUCCUCUGACGUUAGCGGCGGACGGGUGAGUAACACGUGGAUAACCUACCUAUAAGACUGGGAUAACUUCGGGAAACCGGAGCUAAUACCGGAUAAUAUAUUGAACCGCAUGGUUCAAUAGUGAAAGACGGUUUUGCUGUCACUUAUAGAUGGAUCCGCGCCGCAUUAGCUAGUUGGUAAGGUAACGGCUUACCAAGGCGACGAUGCGUAGCCGACCUGAGAGGGUGAUCGGCCACACUGGAACUGAGACACGGUCCAGACUCCUACGGGAGGCAGCAGUAGGGAAUCUUCCGCAAUGGGCGAAAGCCUGACGGAGCAACGCCGCGUGAGUGAUGAAGGGCUUCGGAUCGUAAAACUCGGUUAUUAGGGAAGAACAAAUGUGUAAGUAACUAUGCACGUCUUGACGGUACCUAAUCAGAAAGCCACGGCUAACUACGUGC
rnacentral:rRNA from 1 species